rnacentral:sRNA from 1 species
AGAACAAUGACUGCGCCGCCGGGUCCCCGGGAGCGCGUCGGAGGACUGUGAGCAGCCGCCGCCGGGAGAGCUGCGGGCGGCGCAGUGUCAACGCUGGGCUCGGGAGCCUCCAGCGCAGAUCCUGCCCAGCGCCCGCAGCCCGCGCGAAGCCGCCGGGCUCCGGCACUGCAGCGCUGCUCGGGGACUGUGCAUUGUUGUGAGCCGGAGAAGGGGCGCGGGGAUUACAAAGCCUGAAGACCCCGGAGCCCCUUUAGCCAUGUGGAUACCUACGGAGCACGAGAAAUACGGCGUGGUUAUUGCCAGUUUCCGAGGAACCGUUCCAUAUGGCCUGUCAUUGGAAAUUGGAGAUACAGUUCAGAUCCUGGAGAAGUGUGAUGGCUGGUACAGAGGAUUUGCCUUAAAAAACCCAAAUAUCAAGGGUAUAUUUCCUUCCAGCUACGUUCACUUGAAAAAUGCCUGUGUAAAGAACAAAGGACAAUUUGAAAUGGUUAUUCCCACUGAAGACUCUGUUAUCACAGAAAUGACAUCAACAUUAAGAGACUGGGGAACCAUGUGGAAACAACUCUAUGUGCGUAAUGAAGGCGAUCUCUUCCACCGGCUGUGGCACAUCAUGAAUGAAAUCCUGGAUCUGAGGAGGCAGGUGCUGGUGGGCCACCUCACCCACGACCGGAUGAAGGAUGUGAAGCGCCACAUUACUGCCCGGCUUGACUGGGGCAAUGAACAACUGGGACUGGACCUGGUGCCUAGGAAAGAGUACGCAAUGGUGGAUCCGGAAGACAUCAGCAUUACUGAGCUCUACCGAUUGAUGGAACAUCGACAUCGGAAGAAAGACACCCCGGUGCAGGCCAGCAGUCACCACCUCUUUGUCCAGAUGAAGAGCCUCAUGUGUUCCAACCUGGGAGAGGAGCUGGAGGUCAUCUUCUCACUCUUUGACAGUAAAGAGAACCGGCCAAUCAGUGAGAGAUUUUUCUUGAGGCUGAAUAGAAAUGGGCUUCCCAAAGCCCCUGAUAAACCGGAACGACAUUGCUCCCUCUUUGUGGAUUUGGGUAGCAGUGAGCUAAGAAAGGACAUUUAUAUCACCGUGCACAUUAUCCGAAUCGGUCGAAUGGGAGCAGGAGAAAAAAAGAAUGCCUGUAGUGUCCAGUACCGACGACCCUUUGGCUGUGCAGUUCUUAGCAUCGCUGACCUGCUAACAGGAGAGACAAAGGAUGACCUCAUUCUGAAAGUGUACAUGUGUAACACAGAGAGUGAGUGGUACCAAAUCCAUGAGAACAUCAUCAAAAAGCUGAAUGCACGUUAUAACUUGACUGGCUCCAAUGCAGGUUUAGCAGUUUCCUUACAGCUAUUGCACGGAGACAUUGAACAAAUCAGAAGGGAAUAUUCAUCAGUAUUUUCUCAUGGAGUAUCCAUAACAAGGAAGCUGGGAUUUUCAAAUAUUAUUAUGCCUGGUGAAAUGAGGAAUGAUUUAUAUAUCACUAUUGAAAGGGGAGAAUUUGAGAAAGGAGGGAAGAGCGUGGCCAGAAAUGUGGAAGUUACGAUGUUCAUUGUAGACAGUAGUGGCCAAACCCUGAAGGACUUUAUCUCCUUCGGCUCUGGGGAGCCACCAGCCAGUGAGUACCACUCCUUUGUGCUUUACCAUAACAACAGUCCCAGGUGGUCUGAACUGCUGAAACUUCCCAUUCCCGUGGAUAAAUUCCGGGGCGCACACAUCCGCUUCGAGUUUCGGCAUUGUUCCACAAAGGAGAAAGGAGAGAAGAAGUUGUUUGGGUUUUCUUUUGUCCCUCUGAUGCAAGAAGAUGGUAGGACUCUUCCAGAUGGCACUCAUGAGCUCAUCGUGCAUAAGUGUGAAGAAAACACAAACCUUCAAGAUACUACCCGCUACCUCAAACUUCCCUUUUCCAAGGGCAUUUUCCUUGGGAAUAAUAAUCAAGCCAUGAAGGCCACAAAGGAGUCCUUUUGUAUUACAUCUUUUCUCUGUUCCACAAAACUCACACAAAAUGGUGAUAUGCUUGAUCUUUUGAAAUGGAGAACCCAUCCAGACAAGAUCACUGGCUGUCUCUCUAAAUUAAAAGAAAUCGAUGGCUCAGAGAUAGUAAAGUUUCUGCAGGAUACACUGGAUACCUUAUUUGGAAUUUUAGAUGAAAAUUCCCAAAAAUAUGGGUCUAAAGUGUUUGAUUCUUUGGUUCACAUAAUAAAUCUGCUGCAAGAUAGCAAAUUUCAUCAUUUUAAACCUGUAAUGGACACUUACAUUGAGAGUCAUUUUGCUGGGGCACUUGCAUACAGAGAUCUCAUCAAAGUGCUCAAAUGGUACGUGGACCGGAUCACAGAAGCAGAGCGGCAAGAGCAUAUCCAGGAGGUGCUGAAGGCACAAGAAUACAUUUUUAAGUAUAUAGUUCAAUCUCGAAGGCUGUUUUCCCUUGCCACUGGUGGGCAAAACGAAGAGGAAUUCCGCUGCUGCAUUCAGGAGCUUCUCAUGUCAGUCCGUUUCUUUCUUUCGCAAGAGAGCAAAGGGUCUGGAGCAUUAUCUCAGUCACAGGCUGUGUUUCUGAGCUCUUUCCCUGCCGUGUACUCAGAACUCUUGAAGCUCUUUGAUGUCCGGGAAGUAGCCAACUUGGUCCAGGACACCCUGGGCAGUCUGCCGACCAUCCUGCAUGUGGAUGAUUCCCUGCAGGCCAUCAAACUGCAGUGCAUUGGCAAAACCGUGGAAAGCCAGCUUUAUACCAACCCAGGUAGGGUGCUGAGUCUCUUGGAGGGUGCUGAGUCUCUUGGAGGAAAUUGUGCCUCUGAAAAGCCAUUUUGUACAUCUUGUAGCCAUUGGUCAGCAGAUGCAAUUAAAAACAAAAAACUAAAAGGCAUUUUCUCAAAACCAUUGUUUAUUUGGAUGGUAAAUGUAUUUAGUAGUCAAAACAAAAGUAUGACAAUUAAAACUUUAUUUCUGGAAAGAGUGAAAACUAAUGAUUACAUUAUUGCUUUUUAUGUUUAAUGGGAUUUAACACUCCUUCAGAGAUGCUUACAGGUGCCUGAUAGGAUCCUUAUUUGUCUCUUUUGUUUUUAAAAGUUUUUCAUCAAUUUACGUUCUGAAGCUGUAUGAAACUUUGUAUUAUUGUUGUUUUUUACUUUACCCCAAGAACAAGUGGUCAGUGACUCAAAUUAAUUUUGUUAUAAUAACUGUUAGUAAGUUCCAUUGCCUCUUGUUUUCUUCUGUUUUUUUUUUCCCAAAGAAAUAACAGAGUGAGUACU